CCUACGGGGGGCAGCAGUGGGGGAUAUUGCACAAUGGGGGGAACCCUGAUGCAGCGACGCCGCGUGGGUGAAGAAGCGUUUCGGCGCGUAAAGCCCUGUCAGCAGGGAAGAAGAAGGACGGUACCUGACCAAGAAGCCCCGGCUAACUACGUGCCAGCAGCCGCGGUAAUACGUAGGGGGCAAGCGUUAUCCGGAAUUAUUGGGUGUAAAGGGUGCGUAGACGGGAUAACAAGUUGGUUGUGAAACCCCUCGGCUCAACUGAGGAACUGCAACCAAAACUAUUAUUCUUGAGUGCAGGAGAGGAA
rnacentral:rRNA from 1 species